rnacentral:lncRNA from 1 species
UCUUAUAUUUGUGUUAGGGUUAAAAAAGCCAUAUAGAGAGAAAUAUAGGAAUAGCGUAAUAUAGAAUGAAAAAGUUGGUUGAGGUGUACCGGAACUGACAAUGCUGGUAGGCCUGUAAAAUAAAGAAGGCCCACCCAUGGGUUAAAGGGGGAUGAAGCUGACCAGCUUCCUGACUAGACGCGUGUUCGCUGGGCUCCCACAGCCAAACUCGACUAAUCGCUAAAUAAUCGCAAAUUCAGCCUUUUUUCUCAACGAGGUUACCUUACUUGAGCUCAGCGAAGCCUAACGAACCUCCUGAUAUCUCUUGAGAGAGAAACGGUGCAAAGAAGCCCGAGAUGACUGAUUGUGGCCUGCGGGCGCUGGAACUGGGGAGAGACGGACGCUCUUCCCGUCCUCUCGCUAGCGGCUCAGAAGACACAAUACUCCCUCCCCCCGGACCAGUGGGGGUAAUCCCGGUUCAAUCCUAGGAGAAAGCCCGACUAUGCAGGGGGCAAGCGACAACCCCACACAGACAACCUGCAGUGUCAGAGCGGAACACAAUGGCGGACGCCACGUGUACACCAAGCGAUGGUGAGGGAGAACCCGAUAUCUUGGCACGGCUAGAACGCACAUUUGCGGCCUUCUGGAGGAAAGUAGCACGCAGUAUGAAACAAGUUCAGCCUCCCGCGGCAUGACGUGAGCUUGCCUGAAGUGCCAUCACCUAGCUCCCGACACCGGCAAACAACCCCCAAGCCGAA